GUGGGGAAUCUUCCGCAAUGGACGAAAGUCUGACGGAGCAACGCCGCGUGAGUGAAGAAGGUUUUCGGAUCGUAAAGCUCUUUCGUUAGGGACGAACGUGCUCUUUGUGAAUAAUGAGGAGUAAUGACGGUACCUAAAUAAGAAGCCACGGCUAACUACGUGCCAGCAGCCGCGGUAAUACGUAGGUGGCAAGCGUUGUCCAGAAUUAUUGGGCGUAAAGCGCGCGCAGGCGGGAUAUCAAGUCUGUCUUAAAAGUGCGAGGCUCAACCUCGUGAGGGGACAGAAACUGGUAUUCUUGAGUGUCGGAGAGGAAAGUGGAAUUCCAAGUGUAGCGGUGAAAUGCGUAGAGAUUUGGAAGAACACCAGUGGCGAAGGCGACUUUCUGGACGAUGUCUGACGCUGAGGCGCGAAAGCUAGGGGAGCGAACGGGAUUAGAUACCCGAGUAGUCC
rnacentral:rRNA from 1 species